AAGUCGUAACAAGGUUUCCGUAGGUGAACCUGCGGAAGGAUCAUUAUCGAAAGCUGUAGAUGUUGGUUGUGCUGGCUCUCCGGAGUAAUGUGCACGCCCGUCUCACUCUCACCUUCAUUCAACUGUGCACUUUUGACGGAUGGGGAUAUCUUUCCGCUUCUGGCGGGUUUGGGGGUCAAGCGUUCACUCGCGUUUUCCCCUGCUUUUCCCAUCCGUAAACCCCCACACACACACUUUAUAAAAAUUAACUUAGAAUGUCUGAUUUGAUCCCUCAGGAUCUUUAAUCUUUAAUACAACUUUUAACAACGGAUCUCUUGGCUCUC
rnacentral:misc_RNA from 1 species